UUGUUAGGAACUCUUCUGCCGUCAAUUGGGAAUUUGACAAAGCUUUUGAACCUGUAAGAUCAAUUUUGCAAAAGCAUCACUAACUUACAUAUACGACAUAUGAUUUACCUAUUGAUCUCCCUUGCCUGCCAGAUUGCUAACCAGCUGCAGCUUCCAUGGCCUAAUUCUAGACACAUUAGGAUCUCUAACACAGCUGAUCAAUUAAAAUCUGAAUUCGAAUAGCUUCAGUGGACCUAUAUCAGCUUCCAUUAGUGAUGUUACCAAACUUGUUUUGCUGGAUUUGACUGAUUUAUCAGCUCAAUGGAACAAUUCCAGUCUCUGGUGAAACUUCACCUGGAUUGGAUGGACUAGUUAAUGCAUUGCACUUUCAUUUUGGAAGAAAUUAGCUCACAGGACCAAUCUUGCUUUCUGAUGAAACUACAAAGAUGAAGGUGUAUGGAAGGAAAGGUAAGGGAGUUGGCAGUAGAUAAAACAGGAGUUAGACAGGAAGAUUCUUAUUGUAAAAAGGUGUUAA